ACUCCUACGGGAGGCAGCAGUGGGGAAUAUUGGACAAUGGGCGCAAGCCUGAUCCAGCCAUGCCGCGUGAGUGAUGAAGGCCCUAGGGUUGUAAAGCUCUUUCACCGGUGAAGAUAAUGACGGUAACCGGAGAAGAAGCCCCGGCUAACUUCGUGCCAGCAGCCGCGGUAAUACGAAGGGGGCUAGCGUUGUUCGGAUUUACUGGGCGUAAAGCGCACGUAGGCGGACUAUUAAGUCAGGGGUGAAAUCCCGGGGCUCAACCCCGGAACUGCCUUUGAUACUGGUAGUCUUGAGUUCGAGAGAGGUGAGUGGAAUUCCGAGUGUAGAGGUGAAAUUCGUAGAUAUUCGGAGGAACACCAGUGGCGAAGGCGGCUCACUGGCUCGAUACUGACGCUGAGGUGCGAAAGCGUGGGGAGCAAACAGGAUUAGAAACCCCUGUAGUCCCAUGAU
rnacentral:rRNA from 1 species